UGAGAGAGUGAUGAGGCAUUGGCACAGGCUGCCCAGAGAGGCGGGGACUGGGGCUAGCUGAUCUUUGAGGCCCUUUCCUACCCAAGCCAUUUUAUGAUUCUAUGAAGAUAGCCAAUUUCAGAGAAUUUCAGAGAAACUGAGAAAUUCCACCCUGAUUUCCUUUGCAAAUUAGGCUGUCAAAUCAAAAAGUGUGAUUUCUCUCUUUCCUGCUGGGUGUGAUUCCCUAGCAUCUCUAUGGGGCUUGAUUACACUGAUCAGCUUUAAUUGCCCUGACCAGCCUCACCUGGAACCUCCACUGCACCUUCUGCUCCUGGGCCUAGGAUCUCCAUUUAAGUUCAGCCCCGAGCUCUUGUUGUUUUCCUAGUUUGUUUAGUGGUGUUUCUGUGGGGGGAGCUGGCUUUUUUCCUAAUUUAAUUCCAGCUUCUAGAUAUGUAUCCUGUGUAGGAGCUUUGCUACUGAUCCUUACCUUGCUGUUUCUGACCGCUGUCCUGGCUGGGCUUGGAAGCUGAAACCUUAGAUUUUUGGAGAUUGUCAUUUGAUAGUUUGUAGUAGUUGUGGCCAACGUGAUCCUGACCAGGAACAGCGUGGUUGUAUGCUGAUUGGAAGAUUGCUACAGGUGCUCUGCUUAGUCUUUGCUCCUGGCUUGUCCCUGCUUGUGGUGCACCUCUGCUGCUAUCUGUAGAAUGAAACACCCAGUUGAAGCUGAUGCUGCUGACAGUGGAAGCCUUUUCUGCUGUUCACACAAUGUCUUAUCAUCCAAUGCAUCCCAUGGCGAGAGUUUCCACAGCAUGCUGACAUUGAUUAAAUGAAGAGUCUAACUUGAUGGGGCAGGAUGGGUUGAAACUCUGCCUUUACUUGUGUUGUAAAUUCUGGUGGAUAGAGAGAAACUCUACCCCUGGCAUUGUCAGCCUCCCAUCUUUUUACACCAGAUCUAAGAAUGGUAAGCAGGAAUAACUAGCAUUUUCCAACUUAGUACAUCUUACUUCAUUUCACUGAUGUCCCAAAUCAGCUGAGAUGGACCACAUGAAGUGCAGUAAGGAGAAGUGUGAAGUCCUGAACCUGUGAAGGAACAAUUGCAUGCACCAGAGCGUGCUGAAGCCACUCAUCUGGAAAGCAGCUGACAGAAGGCCCUGGGGAUCAUCAUCUUUGUGAGCAAAUUGUUACUCUGACAGUCACUGGUUCUGCUCAUCUUAUUGACAAAUUGAAGCUGGAAGUGGGAGGCUUAGUGUUUUUCAUGGGAUUCUG